rnacentral:lncRNA from 1 species
AUCUACAAACCUCCUUUUCCUCAUAUUCCUAUCUUCAAAAAACCUUUCCCUCCACAUGAGCCUAUCUAUGAAAAACCUCUUCCUCCGCCUACACCGGUCUAUGAAAAACCAGUUCCUCCGCCUACACCUGUCUAUGAAAAACCUCUUCCUCCGCCUACACCGGUCUAUGAGAAACCUCUUCCCCCGCCUACACCUGUCUAUGAGCCUCCACCAACUCCUGUAUAUCAUAAACCUCUUCCCCCACCUACGCCUGUCUAUGAGAAAC